rnacentral:rRNA from 1 species
UACGUAGGCAGCGAGCGUUGUUCGGAAUUACUGGGCGUAAAGAGUGUGUAGGUGGUGAUCUAAGUCUGUCGUGAAAUCUCCCGGCUUAACUGGGAGGGUGCGGCGGAAACUGGGCGACUGGAGGGACCUAGAGGCCGGUGGAAUUCCCGGUGUAGUGGUGAAAUGCGUAGAGAUCGGGAGGAACACCUGUGGCGAAGGCGGCCGGCUGGGGGUACCCUGACGCUGAGGCGCGACAGCGUGGGGAGCGAACCGG